rnacentral:rRNA from 1 species
UGGGGAAUAUUGCACAAUGGGGGAAACCCUGAUGCAGCCAUGCCGCGUGUGUGAAGAAGGCCUUCGGGUUGUAAAGCACUUUCAGUUGUGAGGAAAAGUUAGUAGUUAAUACCUGCUAGCCGUGACGUUAACAACAGAAGAAGCACCGGCUAACUCCGUGCCAGCAGCCGCGGUAAUACGGAGGGUGCGAGCGUUAAUCGGAAUUACUGGGCGUAAAGCGCACGCAGGCGGUUUGUUAAGCUAGAUGUGAAAGCCCCGGGCUCAACCUGGGAUGGUCAUUUAGAACUGGCAGACUAGAGUCUUGGAGAGGGGAGUGGAAUUCCAGGUGUAGCGGUGAAAUGCGUAGAUGUCUGGAGGAACAUCUGUGGCGAAGGCGACUCCCUGGCCAAAGACCGACGCUCAUGUGCGAAAGUGUGGGUAGCGAACAGGAUUAGAUACCCUGGUAGUCCACACCGUAAACGCUGUCUACUAGCUGUGUGUGCCUUUAAGGCGUGCGUAGCGAAGCUAACGCGCUAAGUAGACCGCCUGGGGAGUACGGCCGCAAGGUUA